rnacentral:rRNA from 1 species
GACGAACGCUGGCGGCGUGCUUAACACAUGCAAGUCGAACGGAAAGGCCCUGCUUUUGUGGGGUGCUCGAGUGGCGAACGGGUGAGUAACACGUGAGUAACCUGCCCUUGACUUUGGGAUAACUUCAGGAAACUGGGGCUAAUACCGGAUAGGAGCUCCUGCUGCAUGGUGGGGGUUGGAAAGUUUCGGCGGUUGGGGAUGGACUCGCGGCUUACCAGCUUGUUGGUGGGGUAGGUGCGUACCAAGGCUUUGACGGGUAGGCGGCCUGAGAGGGUGACCGGCGACAUUGGGACUGAGAUACGGCGCAGACGGCUACGGGAGGCAGUGGUGGGGAAUAUUGCGCAAUGGGCGGGAGCCUGAGGCAGCAACGCCGGGAGCGGGAUGACGGCCUUCGGGUGGAAAACCGCUUUCGACGGUGACGAGGCGUGAGUGACGGUAAUGGGUAAAGAAGCACCGGCUAACUACGUG